CCCGCUGCCGGGGUCCCCCCGAGCUCCGGCCCCGGGCACGCCGCGGCUGCGACUGGGCUGACAAAUCACGAGUGAGGAAAUGAGGAAAUGCUCUGAUUUCAUUUUCGCUUAGCUGGGACUGGACCUGUCGCACGACUUGCGCGUUUGUUUGAAGCAGCUGCUCGAGCAUCUGAGAAAGGGAAGCAGUUUGCUGCUCCUGGCACCCCCAAAAUCAACACAGAGCGCGGAGCUGAGACGGGCCGAGGCCGAGCACGGACCCCCCGCAGCUGGUCUGACCCCGGCAGCGCCCUUGGGCCGGACCCAGACUCCCAUCUCGCCGCCGUCGCGUGUCAACCAGGCCAAAGGCAGCUCUCAGAAAUCAGAUUUAUUCCUUUUUCCUUGGGGAAGCACAGAGGGGAAAACACAGUUUAAACAUAACGAUCGCCUGGAGCCGAGCCUGCUGCAUCCCCGGCCGGCCUCAGUGCCGCACGGACAGCGGGAGACGCAUUUAAUGCACAUUAUAUCGCAGAUGCUGCCGUCAGCCUGAAGGUGCCACCAGCAAAGUCCCCAGCAGCAGCUGGAAAAUCACGCGCCGGGGCUUCCUCCGGGGUCCCGCGAAGGCAACCGGAUUCUUAAAUAAGGCUGGAGUGGAUCCCCGUGCGCCUGAGCUCAGCGGGGCCAGAGGCGGCAUCCCAAGGGCUUGUCUGGAAGCGGAGACCCCCCUAGAUCCGAGGGCCGAACCUCCUGAGUGCCUCCCGGCCCCUGCCAGAUUUUGCGGCCAUCAACUCUUCCUGGGAGCAGAAGGAAAGAAACCAUUUCUGCACGUUGGAGUGAGUUGAAGCCACGAGGGAAAUACCAGGCAAAGGUGUGCAAAUUAUUUCUGUAUAUUAAAAACAUGUUUCGCUUUGAAAAAAUCUGACCAAGGCUGGAGAUGAGAGAGACAGGAGAAAACUGGUGCUUUUUCAAGCCAGCUCCGACAUGAAGAUAAGGGAGCUUUGUUUAGAGAGCUGCCUAUAUAUAUUUUUUUUAACGAGAUAAUGCCUUUCGGUUGCUAGAUGUAGCCCUGCUGACACCACAGCAUUUUGCAGAGCUGCGCCGGUUUGAGCGGGGCUGAUCCCUUCCAACACUUUGCCUCUUCUUGUUUUGAGCUUUAAACGGUGCAGAAACGCUCGCGCUCGCAGGUG